rnacentral:lncRNA from 1 species
GUCACCCAUAUGAACAUAAGAAAAAAAGGUUCCAAGAAAACAAAAUAUUUUGAUGCCAUACCACUAAAAUCAACUUCUAUAUAUAGUCCCCAAUAGCCUCUCUUAAACUUCUAUUAAAUAAAUAAAUACUAAUAUCUCUUGCACCCUUCACCCUCCCUCUCUUAGUCUUAGCCUAGCCACAAUGAAAACAAAGGCCUCUGGGGAAGGCUCUUUAGCGAGUGAGUCCUCUAUAUCCCUAGGAGAGAAGCUCCACCAGGCUUGUGAGUCGGUUGUGGUGGCAGCCGCCGCGGAUGCGGCCCAGCAAGGGAGGCAUCUCAGCUCAAGGAGGGGGAGUUGCCAUGGAGAAGACCCUAUUAGAACGUUAAUGUUUUUGGGGUCUUGGACUCACACAUGAUUAGUGAAAAUUGAAUCCAUCAAAUUUAGUUCUUAGCUUGUCGGUUGAAAUACAGCGAGAAACCNNNNN